rnacentral:rRNA from 1 species
CAUGUCUCAGUACAAGCCAAAUUAAGGUGAAACCGCGAAAGGCUCAUUAAAUCAGUUAUGGUUCCUUAGAUCGUACCCACAAUUACUUGGAUAACUGUGGUAAUUCUAGAGCUAAUACAUGCAAACAGAGCUCCGACCGGAGACGGGAGGAGUGCUUUUAUUAGAUCAAAACCAAUCGGUGGCGAGUUCGCU